rnacentral:rRNA from 1 species
GACGAACGCUGGCGGCGUGCUUAACACAUGCAAGUCGUACGGUAAGGCCCUUUCGGGGGUACACGAGUGGCGAACGGGUGAGUAACACGUGAGUAACCUGCCCACAACUUGGGAUAACGCUAGGAAACUGGUGCUAAUACUGGAUAUGUGCUCCUGCUGCAUGGUGGGGGUUGGAAAGCUCCGGCGGUUGUGGAUGGACUCGCGGCCUAUCAGCUUGUUGGUGGGGUAGUGGCCUACCAAGGCGGCGACGGGUAGCCGGCCUGAGAGGGUGACCGGCCACAUUGGGACUGAGAGACGGCCCAGACUCCUACGGGAGGCAGCAGUGGGGAAUAUUGCACAAUGGGCGCAAGCCUGAUGCAGCAACGCCGCGUGCGGGAUGACGGCCUUCGGGUUGUAAACCGCUUUCAGCAGGGACGAAGCUUUUUGUGACGGUACCUGCAGAAGAAGCACCGGCUAACUACGUG